rnacentral:rRNA from 1 species
UACGUAGGGUGCGAGCGUUAAUCGGAAUUACUGGGCGUAAAGCGUGCGCAGGCGGUUGGGUAAGACAGAUGUGAAAUCCCCGGGCUUAACCUGGGAACUGCAUUUGUGACUGUCCGACUGGAGUAUGUCAGAGGGGGGUGGAAUUCCAGGUGUAGCAGUGAAAUGCGUAGAUAUUUGGAAGAACACCGAUGGCGAAGGCAGCCCCCUGGGGCAAAACUGACGCUCAUGCACGAAAGCGUGGGGAGCAAACAGG